rnacentral:rRNA from 1 species
UGGGGAAUAUUGCGCAAUGGGCGAAAGCCUGACGCAGCGACGCCGCGUGGGGGAUGAAGGCCUUCGGGUUGUAAACCUCUUUCAGCAGGGAAGAAGGGUGACUGACGGUACCUGCAGAAGAAGCACCGGCUAACUACGUGCCAGCAGCCGCGGUAAUACGUAGGGUGCAAGCGUUGUCCGGAAUUAUUGGGCGUAAAGAGCUCGUAGGCGGUUUGUCGCGUCUGCUGUGAAAACUCGGGGCUUAACUCCGGGCCUGCAGUGGGUUCGGGCAGACUAGAGUGCGGUAGGGGAGACUGGAAUUCCUGGUGUAGCGGUGAAAUGCGCAGAUAUCAGGAGGAACACCGGUGGCGAAGGCGGGUCUCUGGGCCGUAACUGACGCUGAGGAGCGAAAGCGUGGGGAGCGAACAGGAUUAGAUACCCUGGUAGUCCACGCCGUAAACGUUGGGCGCUAGGUGUGGGGCUUGUUUCCACGAGUUCCGUGCCGCAGCAAACGCAUUAAGCGCCCCGCCUGGGGAGUACGGCCGCAAGGCUAA